AAUUAGCCCCGAUUGAACGGUUUGUUUGAGCUCUUCCAAAAAAAUCGCAUUUGGAUUUUUUUUGGAAAGCGAGCCGUGAAAGCGGGAAGAUAA
rnacentral:misc_RNA from 1 species